CGAUGUGGGAAGGCCCAGACAGCCAGGAUGUUGGCUUAGAAGCAGCCAUCAUUUAAAGAAAGCGUAAUAGCUCACUGGUCGAGUCGGCCUGCGCGGAAGAUGUAACGGGGCUAAACCAUGCACCGAAGCUGCGGCAGCGAACGUAUCACUUAAAGCGAUUCAGCGGGUUACGAUUGACGGAGCGAAGCGACGUCAAAGCGUAUACAAAGUCGAGUCGGUUUAAGGAUACGUUCGUUGGGUAGGGGAGCGUUCUGUAAGCCUGUGAAGGUGGCCUGUGAGGGUUGCUGGAGGUAUCAGAAGUGCGAAUGCUGACAUAAGUAACGAUAAAGCGGGUGAAAAGCCCGCUCGCCGGAAGACCAAGGGUUCCUGUCCAACGUUAAUCGGGGCAGGGUGAGUCGACCCCUAAGGCGAG
rnacentral:rRNA from 1 species